UGCCUUGGCCUCCCAAAGUGCUGGGAUUACAGGUGUGAGCCACGGUGCCCGGCCCACAAUUAAUUUUAGAACAUUUUCAUCACCCCUAAAAGAAACCCUGCACCCAUUAGCAGUCCCUCCACAUUUCCCCCUAGCCUGCCUCCCCUGCCUCACCAGCCCUGGCAACUGCUAAUCUACUUUCUGUGUCUAUGGAUUUGCCUUCUCUAAACAUUUCAUAUAAAUGGAAUUACACAAUGAGUGGUCUUUUGUGACUGGCUUCUUUCACUUAGCACAAUGUUUUCAAG
rnacentral:lncRNA from 1 species